AGUUAAUGAUCUUGAAAUAAGAAUAUGUUUUGAAAACAUAAAAUAGAAAUAAAAUUUUCUAUUAACUC
rnacentral:tRNA from 1 species